UACGGAGGAUCCGAGCGUUAUCCGGAUUUAUUGGGUUUAAAGGGUGCGCGGGCGGGAGAUUAAGUCGGCGGUGAAAUUUUGCAGCUCAACUGUAAAAGUGCCUUCGAAACUGGUUUCCUUGAGUGUAGAUGAAGUAGGCGGAAUUUGUGGUGUAGCGGUGAAAUGCAUAGAUAUCACGAGGAACUCCGAUUGCGCAGGCAGCUUACUAAACUACUACUGACGCUCAGGCACGAAGGCGUGGGGAUCAAACAGGAUUAGAUACCCCCGUAGUCCCUGA
rnacentral:rRNA from 1 species